rnacentral:rRNA from 1 species
AAAGCGGGGGAUUGGAAACGACCUCGCGUUAUAGGAGUGGCCGAUGUCGGAUUAGCUAGUUGGUGGGGUAAAGGCCUACCAAGGCGACGAUCCGUAGCUGGUCUGAGAGGACGACCAGCCACACUGGGACUGAGACACGGCCCAGACUCCUACGGGAGGCAGCAGUGGGGAAUUUUGGACAAUGGGGGCACCCUGAUCCAGCCAUUUCCGCGUGAGUGAAGAAGGCCUUCGGGUUGUAAAGCUCUUUUCCGCCAUUCUUU